rnacentral:snRNA from 3 species
AGCCACGCGGUGAGCACAGAGCGAACUAUUCUUUCGCCUUUUACUAAAGAAUACCGUGUGCUCGCCGCUUUUAGUGGCAUACGCUUAUUUUUGGAGGACACUCCUCUCUCGGAGGAGAGU